rnacentral:rRNA from 1 species
UACGAAGGGUGCAAGCGUUGUUCGGAAUCAUUGGGCGUAAAGCGCGCGCAGGCGGAUCAGCAAGUCAGGUGUGAAAUCUCGGGGCUCAACCCCGAAACUGCGCCUGAAACUGCUAGUCUAGAAUGUCGGAGGGGGCAGGGGAAUUUCACGUGUAGGGGUAAAAUCCGUAGAGAUGUGAAGGAACACCGGGGGCGAAGGCGCCUGCCUGGACGACUAUUGACGCUGAGGCGCGAAAGCGUGGGGAGCAAACAGG